GGGGACGAUUUUGGAUUCGACAGGGGUAGGUUGAGCUUAGGCUGCACGUCCGAGGUUACGUCUCGUAAACCGUUACAAACAAUAACUGGCAAAGAAGAAAACUACGCUUUAGCUGCAUAAUUUCAGCUAAAGGACUCUCACAGCUAUCUCCCGCGUAGCCGUGUAGAGUCUCAUAUUCAGCGGGAUAAACGUCCACCCUCCGCCUGUGGGUAGGGCGUUGAAACCAAUCAGGCUAGCGCUCUUUUGGCCUGUCGAUCGGCAAAAAAGAGUCGCGAAACCAAAUAGAUCGACUAUGACGUGUAGACGCUUAAGUGGCAAUACCCCUGGACGCGAGUUCGAAUCUCGCCGUCUCCAUUU
rnacentral:tmRNA from 1 species